rnacentral:rRNA from 1 species
CCCUACUCCUACGGGAGGCAGCAGUGGGGAAUAUUGCACAAUGGGCGCAAGCCUGAUGCAGCCAUGCCGCGUGUAUGAAGAAGGCCUUCGGGUUGUAAAGUACUUUCAGCGGGGAGGAAGGGAGUAAAGUUAAUACCUUUGCUCAUUGACGUUACCCGCAGAAGAAGCACCGGCUAACUCCGUGCCAGCAGCCGCGGUAAUACGGAGGGUGCAAGCGUUAAUCGGAAUUACUGGGCGUAAAGCGCACGCAGGCGGUUUGUUAAGUCAGAUGUGAAAUCCCCGGGCUCAACCUGGGAACUGCAUCUGAUACUGGCAAGCUUGAGUCUCGUAGAGGGGGGUAGAAUUCCAGGUGUAGCGGUGAAAUGCGUAGAGAUCUGGAGGAAUACCGGUGGCGAAGGCGGCCCCCUGGACGAAGACUGACGCUCAGGUGCGAAAGCGUGGGGAGCAAACAGGAUUAGAAACCCUGGUAGUCCGA